UACGUAGGUGGCAAGCGUUAUCCGGAAUUAUUGGGCGUAAAGAGCUCGUAGGCGGUCUGUCGCGUCGGCUGUGAAAACCCGAGGCUCAACCUCGGGCCUGCAGUCGAUACGGGCAAACUAGAGUACUGCAGGGGAGACUGGAAUUCCUGGUGUAGCGGUGAAAUGCGCAGAUAUCAGGAGGAACACCGGUGGCGAAGGCGGGUCUCUGGGCAGUAACUGACGCUGAGGAGCGAAAGCGUGGGGAGCGAACAGG
rnacentral:rRNA from 1 species